AUACAGAGGUUGCGAGCGUUAAUCGGAAUUACUGGGCGUAAAGCGCGCGUAGGCGGCUUAUUAAGUCAGAUGUGAAAUCCCCGGGCUCAACCUGGGAACUGCAUCUGAUACUGGUAAGCUAGAGUUUUGGAGAGGGAAGUAGAAUUUCAGGUGUAGCGGUGAAAUGCAUAGAGAUCUGAAGGAAUACCAGUGGCGAAGGCGACUUCCUGGCCAAAAACUGACGCUGAGGUGCGAAAGCGUGGGUAGCAAACGGGAUUAGAAACCCUAGUAGUCC
rnacentral:rRNA from 1 species